rnacentral:tRNA from 1 species
GGAGGGGUGGCAGAGUGGUCGAAUGCACCGGUCUUGAAAACCGGCGUACCGAAAGGUACCGUGGGUUCGAAUCCCACCCCCUCUGCCA